rnacentral:lncRNA from 1 species
UGCACUCCAGCAUGGACGACAGAGGGAGACUCCGUCUAAAAAAAAAAAAGCAAGUGCUUCAUCCUCACCAAAAAGGAGCUAUUCUUUUUACUUGGGCAACCUUCUCUGAAAGCAAAGUCACCUGUCUUGUAAUGAAGCUUCGCAAUUAGGGUUUACACACGAUGUGGCAAAGGAACGCUCACAGUUUGCUGUCUCUUUGGCAUCAACUUCUCCCUGCACAUAAAGCGGGCAUUUCUCGAGCCUGGCUUUUUGGCUUUCCUUUGCUAGGCUCCAUGUAGACACACUGCCCUUUGGGGAGCUGUUGACAGGGUUGAUUAGAGAAUGACUAUCUUCGGUUACUAUGGGAGACACUGCUGGUUGUCCACCCAGUUCCUCCUUUGUUCCUUACUAUUUUGUUCACAGUGGCAAUAUUUUCAGGGAAGGUGAACCCAGCCCUAAGGAGUGAACUAUGAUUGGAUAGCUCACUCUGCGGAUUCCAGGUUUCCUUGUGAUUGGAUAGAACGCUGCGGAUUCCAGGCUUCGUUGUGAUUGGAUAGAACUUAGCGGAUUCCAGGCUUCCUUGUGAUUGGCUAGAACUCUGCGGAUUCCAGGCUUCCUUGUGAUUGGAUAGCUCACUCUGUGGAUUCCAGGCUUCCUUGACAGUAACUGGCUUAGGAGUAGGCAUAUGACCCAUUCUACUCAAAGAGGCAUAAGCGGACACUGACGUUUGCUGGCAGGGGAUGAGGAGCUUGGAAAAGAUCCUCCUCCCGUUUUGCCAUCUUUGUUUCUUGCCACAAUAGGAUGUAACCAUUGGCGCUGCAGCAGCCACCCUGCGACCAUGAAUGGAGAGCCAAGAGAAUGGCAGAGGGUGGAAUUAAGUGACAAGGCAAAGCUAAUGUAAGAUACAUAAAACACCAAAAACACCAAGCAUUCUGCCGUGAACCCAUUUGGUGCUCAAUAAAAUCAUUGCCCUUUUUUUGGUGUUUUGUUGGAGACAAAACGGAAACACCAAAUGGCUGGUGGAAGUGGUAGGAAAAAAGGAGACCAAAAACCCAGUGGCUCUGAAGAGGGCUUCUCAUCCUCAGCACUGCUGACAUUUGCGCCAGAUAUUUCUUUGUUUUGGAGGCUGUCCUGUGCACUGUCGGAUGUUUAGCAGCAUCGUCAGCCUCUACUCUCCAGGAGUCUGAGCCAAGGCUGCGUCCACAGGAGGGAGUCACUGACGGUUGGAGGACUGAUAUUCACCAAUACCUUUCCCACAAACAAGAGAUGCCUGAGAAAGACCUGGUCAUGCAGGAGGUGGUGAGUGGCUACUGGAAGAAAUAUGGUGGCUGGGGGAGGGGCAAGGGAGAAGUCUGCCUGCGGUUGAGCAGGCUGGCUGGAGAGCCAAGGCCAGUGCCCACUAGUGACUCUCCCGAGGGGUGUUGCCUUGGUGGGCUUCCCCGCUCUGGCCUUUUGUCACCUUGUUUGCUGAAUCCAGGUAAAAUUUUUGACCAAAUUGGAAAGCAAUUCCGGGGAGUUGGAGUCAGAUCUGUCCCUACCCUUGCUGUUGCUAAUGAGCUGUAUGACCUUAGUUGAGCCAUUUGAUCUCUCUGCAACUGUUUCUUGGGCUGUGAAACAUGGGGGUUGGAGUCUCUGAUUUCUAAGGUCCUUUUCAGCUGUAAGUUCUAAGGCCUGUGAAUACCACAGUGUGAUGAAGCCAACUGGGUGGUGGUGAGGGCCUUGUAAGUUUCAGUCUUACUGCAAGCCGGCGAUAGAAUUCUCCCCAUGUCUUUGUUAAGAACUCUUGGCCGGGCACAGUGGCUCAUGCCUGUAAUCC